GGCACUUACACUAUGAAAAAAGUUAUGAUUCAGAAUAGUAAACAGUUGGAGUUGGUAAGGGAGGAGAUCCGUGUUUCCUCACUGUUCAGUCAUCCCAAUCUGCUUCCACUUCUUGGUCAUGCUAUCAUUUCUGUUAAGAUAAUCACUACUAAAGAAGAAAGAAAACAAGAACUUGACGGCUAAAUUAGAGACUAUCACAGAUACAAAAGAAGCAAUCUUCAAAGGCCAUGCCUGACUUGCUUUAAAUUGAAGGAAAAUUUUAGAAGGGAAAGAAGAAGAGGUGGUGGAGGAACUUUUUGUGAUAGUGUGGAUGUUGUGCAAUUAAAGAAAUUAAUGGCUUUUCAAAUAACAGUACAAAUUGUCUGGUGUGAUGGCCAAAGAGGCUAUAUGUUUUGCUGCAAGAGAUGUCCUUCAAGAUAAACUUUGAUGGAGCAAUGUUUAAAGAACGAAGCACAUUUGGAGUAGGAGUCUUUAUACGAGAUGAUAAUUGGUAGCUCAUUGCCGCAUUGAGUUACAAAGGGAGAGCAAUUAUGGAUCUGGAGGAGGCAGAACUAGCAGCAGUUGGCCAAGCUAUUAAUUUUGCAAUUGGAAUAGGUGCAAGAGAUAUCAUCUUAGAGGGCGAUUUAGCAAGUUUUUGCAAUUGGAAUAGGUGCAAGAGAUAUCAUCUUAGAGGGUGAUUUAGCAAGUUUUUUUUGACAAGUUGUGAUCUGAGGAAGAAGAUAAUUCAUGCUGGGAGCUAUGGUGGAGGAAGCAAUAUUAAGAACGAAUCUGUUCAAACCAUGGAAGGUAAAGCAGUUCUAGGUGAGAGGCGAAUCAGCAUGCGUAUUUAUUGGUGUGACUUGAUUAUUGAUUAGCUAAACACUGAUGUAAUGAAUAUGAAUAGUAUUUGAUGCAAGUUAUCUUUGAUUAGUUUAAGGAAAAAAAAAAAAAAGACCAAUACCCCAACAUACUAUAUCUCUCUAAAAUGCUUCCAAAGAAGAAAAGUUUCAGUUGCUCCAUAUACUCCAUGGUGGUUUUGAUAUGAGUAUGAUUCUAUGUUUUCCACUUUGUAUUUCAUUUGUUUUGACUCUUUCUUUUUUUAAAUAUUAUUAUUGUUACCUUUUCAUUGAUUU